AUACGUAGGAUCCGAGCGUUAUCCGGAUUUAUUGGGUUUAAAGGGUGCGCAGGCGGCCAUUUAAGUCAGCGGUUAAAUCGUGGGGCUCAACCCCAUUCUGCCGUUGAUACUGGGUGGCUUGAUUGCGGUCGAGGUUGGCGGAAUUCGUUGUGUAGCGGUGAAAUGCAUAGAUAUCACGAAGAACUCCGAUCGCGAAGGCAGCUCACCGGGCCGGAACUGACACUGAUGCUCGAAAGUGCGGGUAUCAAACAGGAUUAGAUACCCUGGUAGUCCGCACAGUAAACGAUGAAUACUCGCUGUUUGCGAUACACUGUAAGCGGCCAAGCGAAAGCGUUAAGUAUUCCACCUGGGGAGUACGCCGGCAACGGUGAAACUUAAAUGAAUUGGCGGGG
rnacentral:rRNA from 1 species